GACGAACGCUGGCGGCGUGCCUAAUACAUGCAAGUAGAACGCUGAAGAGAGGAGCUUGCUCUUCUUGGAUGAGUUGCGAACGGGUGAGUAACGCGUAGGUAACCUGCCUUGUAGCGGGGGAUAACUAUUGGAAACGAUAGCUAAUACCGCAUAACAAUGGAUGACACAUGUCAUUUAUUUGAAAGGGGCAAUUGCUCCACUACAAGAUGGACCUGCGUUGUAUUAGCUAGUAGGUGAGGUAAUGGCUCACCUAGGCGACGAUACAUAGCCGACCUGAGAGGGUGAUCGGCCACACUGGGACUAAGACACGGCCCAGACUCCUACGGGAGGCAGCAGUAGGGAAUCUUCGGCAAUGGGGGCAACCCUGACCGAGCAACGCCGCGGGAGUGAAGAAGGUUUUCGGAUCGUAAAGCUCUGUUGUAAGUCAAGAACGGGUGUGAGAGUGGAAAGUUCACACUGUGACGGUAGCUUACCAGAAAGGGACGGCUAACUACGUG
rnacentral:rRNA from 1 species